rnacentral:rRNA from 1 species
GAUGAACGCUGGCGGCGUGCUUAACACAUGCAAGUCGAACGGAAAGGCCCUGCUUUUGUGGGGUGCUCGAGUGGCGAACGGGUGAGUAACACAUGAGUAUCCUGUCCUUGAAUUUGGGAUAACUUCAGGAAACUGGGGCUCAUACAGGAUAGGAGAUCCUGAUGCAUGGGGGGGGUUGGAAAGUUUCGGCGGUUGGGGCUGGAUUAGAGGCUUAUCCGCUUGUUGGUGGGGUAGUGGAUUACCAAGGGUUUGACGGGUAGCCGGCCUGAGAGGUUGAACGGCCACAUGGGGACUGAGAUACGGCGCAGUCGCCUAUGGGAGGCAGUAGGGGGGAAUAUGACACAAUGGGCGGGAGCCUGAGACAGCAGCGUCGCGUGCGUGAAGACCGCCUACGGGUGAUGAACCGCUUUCGCCGUAGACGAAGCGGGAGUGACGGUAACGGGUAAAGAAGCACCGGCUAACUACGUG